AGAUUGCAGGCUGAAACUCGCCUGCAUGAAGUCGGAAUUGCUAGUAAUCGCAGAUCAGCAUGCUGCGGUGAAUACGUUCCCGGGCCUUGUACACACCGCCCGUCACACCAUGGGAGUCGGUAACACCCGAAGCCUGUAGUCUAACCGCAAGGAGGACGCAGUCGAAGGUGGGAUUGAUGACUGGGAUGAAGUCGUAACAAGGUAGC
rnacentral:rRNA from 1 species